rnacentral:rRNA from 1 species
AGCAGCCGCGGUAAUUCCAGCUCCAAUAGCGUAUAUUAAAGUUGUUGCAGUUAAAAAGCUCGUAGUUGAAUUUCGGGGUUAGUAGGUUGGUCAUGCCUCUGGUAUGUACUGAUCUCACUGAUUCCUCCUUCCUGAUGAACCGUAGUGCCAUUAAUUUGGUGUUGCGGGGAAUUUGGACUGUUACUUUGAAAAAAUUGAGUGUUUAAAGCAAGCUAACGCUUGAAUACAUUAGCAUGGAAUAAUGAAAUAGGACGUUCGAUCCUAUUUUGUUGGUUUCUAGGAUUGACGUAAUGAUUAAUAGGGAUAGUUGGGGGCAUUAGUAUUCAAUUGUCAGAGGUGAAAUUCUUGGAUUUAUUGAAGACUAACUACUGCGAAAAGCAUUUGCCAAGGAUGUUUUCAUUAAUCAAGAACGAAAGUUAGGGAUCGAAGACGAUCAGAUACCGUCGUAGUCUUAACCAUAAACUAUGCCGACUAGGGAUCGGAUGAUGUUAAUUUUUAAUGACUCAUUCGGCGCCUUAAC